rnacentral:rRNA from 1 species
UACAGAGGUCUCAAGCGUUGUUCGGAUUCAUUGGGCGUAAAGGGUGCGUAGGUGGCGCUGUAAGUCGGGUGUGAAAUUUCGGAGCUUAACUCCGAAACUGCAUUCGAUACUGGCGUGCUUGAGGACUGAAGAGGAGACUGGAAUUCAUGGUGUAGCAGUGAAAUGCGUAGAGAUCAUGAGGAAGACCAGUGGCGAAGGCGGGUCUCUGGACAGUUCCUGACACUGAGGCGCGAAAGCCAGGGGAGCAAACGGG